rnacentral:RNase_P_RNA from 2 species
ACAGGUCGAAAGCCGCGAGGCUCGCCCCGUACAGACGCAUCCUACUGCAUCUCUCUUGCGAGCGGGCUAAGGUCUGAGAGUUUGUCCUCCUCGAUAGGCUCUAGCAGAGCCCCGUGGUAACCCACGGCGCGACGUACCAGCAAUAUCCCGCGAAACAUCACCCGGAGACCUUUUGCCUUUAGGCGGGAGUGAGGGACGCGCCCCCUUGUGUACCUUCGGGGAAGCCUGGACGGCAGAAGCGUUCUGGGCUUGCCCAGCGCGGGUUGGAACGCGUCGCGAGGACUGGGUGUCUGGUUCUGUACCCUCUUUGCCUGUCAGUAGUCGCUUCACGGCGGCGGCGGCGGGUUAGGUGUACAGUCAGUCGUUCCCUUGAGUGCACUUCGCGGCGCGCGCUCUCGAUCUUCGAAUCAUGGGCGCGUAACUCGAUUCAGACUACUCUUGGCCUGU